ensembl:lncRNA
GGAUUCACUUCAUCCACUAAAAUUUGAUGAAAUCAACCGGAGGGAGGUAAUGAAAUGUUCUCACAUGAAAUAAAAUUUGCCAGAAUAUUCUCUGUGCUCAGCCCUGGCACAGUUUUACUGCGCUGGGAUUUUAACUUGAGUCUACAGCAGGGGGCACUUUAAGACUGGUUAAGGGAGGUGGAAAACUUUGCAACACUAAUUCCACAUCAUCAUGAGCAGAGUAAACAGUCUGGUACAAAACAAAAUAUAAAAAAAACAUAAGCAAUUAAAUAUGUAUUUAGCAGAAAGUGUGAUUCGAUUCCUGUUUUUCCCCCAGCAACUGCACUUGCUGAAACUGGACAUGGAACUGAAAAUUACUUUCUUGUUCUAAACAGAUUGUAUCAUUGUCGUCUUGUUCAUCUAAAUAAAUGGACUUUGCUUUUCUGAAUCUAGCUAGACACAGGAUCAGAUGCUGUAUUUUUUGGUUAAUCAGCCUCUGUCUCUGCAGCUAUCUGUGAUGGUCAGCACAGCCAUGCUGUUUCUCUGCUGUGCAGUUGCCUAAGGGAGAAUACACACUUUGGCUUUCUGGAAGUGCGUGUGGAUUCACCUGAACACAGUUCUGAAAGAAGAAACGAUCAUCUGGAUGCAGUGAACUCAUGCUCAUAACAACUGAGUGGAAAUUCGCUUAUGCUAUUGAGUAUCAUGGAACACUGCACCACACAACACAGUGCAAUGGAGCAAUGGACGUACUUUCCUUGUACUUUUCCACUUCACAAUGACAAAGAUCAGCAAAUAAUGUAGAUGCUACAGAAAAGAGCAUAGCUCUGAUCUUACCUCAGGAGUACAGGACAAACUGCAGAACACAUAUGUUUAAGAGGUAUAUGACAAAAUGCUGCCAUGCUCCUUGAGUUGUGUUGCAAAGAAGAGUUGUGCUGUAUAUCCUGACGUCUUUUGCCAUCGUUACUGCAGUUUUUCCCUUCUGAAAUAUAGCUUUAUGGAGCGUCGGAUCUACUAGAACUAGUAAAACAUAUGAAAACAUGGACUCCUUAACCCUGGAAUAUGGUUCAGUGCAAGCCAGUUCAAGCUCAUACUCUCCUUAUUCAGAAAUAAUAGUGCUAAACCUACUGCAGGAAGAUUAAGAUGAGAAAAGUAAAACAGAAAAUCCAGUUAAUCAAUCCUUUGUAAACACAUUCUGUUGAAUCAUGCUCUCUGUUGAAGGUAGUACUAUUAUCAGAACUGUAAUGAUUUGGAGCUAUAAAUGAUGGAAGAUUUAUGUAUAGAUUUCAGAGGUGGCAUUCAGGGAAACUUCCUUGAUGUCCUGCGCAGAUGUCACUGCUGACUCAUAGGUUUAGAGUUUCAUAGAAAUUAAGCGGAAGUGAAGACUCAGACACCUCGGAUUCUUGGUCAUCCUUGUUACAGUUAAAGAACGGGCUUGGAUUUGUUCCUCCAUAUCUGCCUCUUGCCUCCUGCAUUUUAGAAGGUUUGAAAACCACUGCCAGGUGAGCAGAACCUGGUGAAAUGGAGGUGAAGAGCAACUGAGAGAUAACUGCCAUGGUUCCAGCAUGUUCUGCACCCAGAAGGUUCCGAAAGAGAGGCUAAACACCUCGGAAUGUACCGAUCACAAGAACUGCUUUAAGUUAAAUAAGAACCCAGAAAGCAGAGACUUCUUCCAAAAGAAAUAAAACUUCAAAAAACAGAUGACAAAACAGAAACUUGCCUUCAAAAGGGCAUAAUAUAUUUUCUGAACAAUAUACAGUACCUUAUCUAAAUUGAAUAGUUUUAUCCUGCAACCAUUUAUGGAAGAGCAGAGUACAGAAUGAGCAUUGAAAGUUUGUAUAGCUCCUCUUCUCUUUCUCAUCUUCGCUUCAAACAGAAGAACAAAAAGCUGAGAGCAAUAAACUAGAGAGCUGAAAAAAUCUAGUGUAAAGAAGUAAUUCAAAGAACAAGGAAGAAAGAAAUACGAGAGGAGGAAGGGAACAAAGAGAGGACAAAGGAAGCAGAACAAGGGAAAGAAGUGUCCUAUCAUUCUAUAGCUAAGCUCAUUGAGUUGCUUUGGAAAGAGCUCAAACUCCUAUCCAAACCUCUGGAGGAGGCACAACAAAGCAGAAAGAAACUGCAGCCAGCGAUGCUGAUUUUCUAUGUCAUGCUGGUGUCCCAUGGCCCUUGUGAAGUUUGGCUCCCUGUUGUACUAUUCUUCCAGAAGCAGAGAAGUAGAAACAAUCUCUGUGCCAAAGAGCUUGCAAAGGCAAGUACUUUGAAAGGAACCUGUUAAUAUUUCUGUGAUGUCUAAUCAACAGCUGGACUUCUAACAGUAUAGAUGUACCAUACAGAAAGUUGCACGUGGACUUCAAAACUCACAUUGUUCUAAAUGUCAUGAGAAUUUCACGAGAAAUGAAAAAAAAACAGCAAUGAGCGGAGUCAUUGCAAAGGUAUUUAGACACUGUGCACAAGGCAAGAGGCCAUCUUACUACCUUUAGGAGAGUUUGAAGAUUUGGUUGUGUCUUGGCCAGUGCCAAGAAAAAAAGUGCAAUAAAAGGAUUGUGUUUAAAUCUGCAGAAACUGAGAUCCAGCCCAAAGCAAGACAGCGUGAAAAUAAGGAGCUGUGGAUCAAGCGGCUCACUGAGUGAGCUCGCCUGCCUGUUAGUCUUCACUGAAUGAAAACUGCUCACCUCACUGUGAAAGAUGCAGCACAAAGGCUUGAUGUAGACUUGGUUCCCUCAGUGUGACCUGUAUUACCUGAGCAGAAGGAUGUCUCAUUUCUGGAUUCUGAUCAUGCUUAGUUCACUGAAUUGAAGAGAGGAAACUUCUGUCUCCAGUGAUAUCACCUCUUGCCUUAUCAAGUUUAUAUUUUCUUCAUAAAUUCUCAGUUCAUCAAGUAAAACAAAAGUCCUCAGGUGAUCCAUGAAUAACAACCAGCCCUCCCGGACUACCCUUCUCUCCAGCAGUCACCCAUGAGAUGUUACCAAGCAGAACUCUGAAGUGUCAAAUAUGAUUUUCCCUGCCUGGAGAGGCAUGUAUUCUGUAGCUACUCCUGACAUACCUGUAAACUGCUCUUCCCUAUGAGGUGUGAAAUGGGAGCAGUAAUUACUUCCUGUGCUGCAAAGGCAUUGAGAAGUUUCAAGGCGUGCAGUUCUGGGUGACGGGAAACAAAACUAAACGAAGUAAAAUGUGAUCAGAAAAACAAUGAGAGCAGAACUUGAUCUGCUUGCAGGAAAAAGAAAUAGAGGAUAUGUUUUCUACCCUGAAGAACAGGGUAGAGCUGCAGAGAAGAACAGAAAGCUGCAGGAAAUAAAUGUCAAAGAAAGAAUGACAAAAAGAUCAGGAAAGAAAUAGCCCAGGAUUUCCUGCUGAUGACAGAAAGGAGAAUGAAUAUGCUGAACAGUUAUCUGUAAAAGGCUGCUACAACCUAACAGCAGAUAAAAAAAGAGCUACUCAAGUUCCAGCUUUUUAACAAUGAAGUCUGCUACAAG